rnacentral:snRNA from 1 species
AUCGUUCUCGGCCUUUUGGCUAAGAUCAAGUGUAGUAUCUGUUCUUAUCAGUUUAAUAUCUGAUAUGUUCUCCAUGUGAGGACUAUAUAUUAAACGGAUUUUUAGCACCGGGAGCUGAAAGAGGGGCUUGCUCCUUUCACUCCACGCAUCACCUGGCACUGCAGUGCCGCCAGGAACGGUGCACCUUCU